UACUCCUACGGGAGGCAGCAGUAGGGAAUCUUCCGCAAUGGACGAAAGUCUGACGGAGCAACGCCGCGUGAGUGAAGAAGGUUUUCGGAUCGUAAAACUCUGUUGUCAGAGAAGAACAAGUUGGAGAGUAACUGCUCCAGCCUUGACGGUAUCUGACCAGAAAGCCACGGCUAACUACGUGCCAGCAGCCGCGGUAAU
rnacentral:rRNA from 1 species